GACCUAAGUACUAAGUACUAAAGGCACUCGGUCCCAUCUGAUUUAGAAGCUAAGCAGGGUCAUCCCUGGUUAGUACUUGGUUGGGAGACCACCAAAGAAUCCCAUGUGCUGUGGGCU
rnacentral:rRNA from 1 species